rnacentral:misc_RNA from 1 species
AAGUCGUAACAAGGUUUCCGUAGGUGAACCUGCGGAAGGAUCAUUACCGAGUGAGGGUCCCCCGGGGCCCAAACCUCCCACCCUUUGUCAACCAUACCUUUGUUGCUUUGGCGGGCCCGUGGGGUCACACCCGCCGUCGGCCCCGGCUGGCGAGCGCCCGUCAGAGUCCCCUCAAACUCCGUGAAUUGUGACGUCUGAGCAAACAUUUAAUAGCAUAAAACUUUCAACAACGGAUCUCUUGGUUCUG